rnacentral:rRNA from 1 species
CCUACGGGUGGCAGCAGUGAGGAAUAUUGGUCAAUGGACGAGAGUCUGAACCAGCCAAGUAGCGUGAAGGAUGACUGCCCUAUGGGUUGUAAACUUCUUUUAUAUGGGAAUAAAAUGUUCCACGUGUGGGAUUUUGUAUGUACCAUAUGAAUAAGGAUCGACUAACUCCGUGCCAGCAGCCGCGGUAAUACGGAGGAUCCGAGCGUUAUCCGGAUUUAUUGGGUUUAAAUGGAGCGUAGGUGGAUUGUUAAGUCAGUUGUGAAAGUUUGCGGCUCAACCGUGAAAUUGCAGUUGAAACUGGCAGUCUUGAGUACAGUAGAGGUAGGCGGAAUUCGUGGUGUAGCGGUGAAAUGCUUAGAUAUCACGAAGAACUCCGAUUGCGAAGGCAGUUCACUGGACUGCAACUGACACUGAGGCUCGAAAGUGUGGGUAUCAAACAGGAUUAGAUACCCGAGUAGUC